CAUGCAGUCGUGGGGCAGCAGGGGUGUAGCAAUACACUCGCUGGCGACCAGCAAACGGGUGCGGAACACGUACGCAAUCUACCCAAAACUGGUGAAUAGCCCUCCGAAAGGAGGAUUAAUACACCGUAACCUAUUGAAGUGGCAUCACUUUAUUAGUAUAGCUCCGGCGGUUUUGGAUGAGCGUGCGGCUGAUUAGAUAGUUGGCGGGGUAACGGCCCACCAAGUCUGCGAUCAGUAACUGGUGUGAGAGCACGACCAGUCACACGGGCACUGAGACACGGGCCCGACUCCUACGGGAGGCAGCAGUAAGGAAUAUUGGUCAAUGGACGCAAGUCUGAACCAGCCAUGCCGCGUGGAGGAUGAAGGCCCUCUGGGUUGUAAACUUCUUUUAUCUGGGACGAAACCCUCAUAUUCUUAUGAGACUGACGGUACCAGAGGAAUAAGCACCGGCUAACUCCGUGCCAGCAGCCGCGGUAAUACGGAGGGUGCAAGCGUUAUCCGGAUUCACUGGGUUUAAAGGGUGCGUAGGAGGGCAGGUAAGUCAGUGGUGAAAUCUCCAAGCUUAACUUGGAAACUGCCGUUGAUACUAUCUGUCUUGAAUGUUGUGGAGGUGAGCGGAAUAUGUCAUGUAGCGGUGAAAUGCUUAGAUAUGACAUAGAACACCAAUUGCGAAGGCAGCUCACUACACAAUUAUUGACUCUGAGGCACGAAAGCGUGGGGAUCAAACAGGAUUAGAUACCCUGGUAGUCCACGCCCUAAACUAUGGAUACUCGACAUACGCGAUAUACAGUGUGUGUCUGAGCGAAAG
rnacentral:rRNA from 1 species